AGUAGAGGUGAGGUUUCACUAUGUUGGCCAGGCUGGUCUCAAACUCCUGACCUCAGGUGAUCCACCCACC
ensembl:miRNA